rnacentral:lncRNA from 1 species
CAGGAAAUUCUAGUAGUUCACUAAUAAUUCUGUCUUUAUUCCCAGGUAGAAGGUAAACAGAGUUGGUCUGUUUAUAUGAAACCAUAUUUUAAGCCUCUCAAGAAAUCCCCAAUCACAGAUUCUUCUGAUUAACAGAGAUAAUGCUUAUUAUAUUAAGCACCAUGUUACUCUGGAAUGAAGAAACAAAGAGUACAAAACUGCCACUCUGCAUGUACAUCAAUUUUUCCAGCGACCUAAGAGAAGAGAUCACAGGUAUAAUGUGGAGGAACUGCCAGAAUGUGCACCCUUCCUUUUUUCUGCCCUCUUCACCUCCCCCAUUAUGGAUUUUUGCUUGUAUAUUCAGAGGCAUAUUAGUCUACAGUUUUCUUUCAUGUAAGUAUUUGUCUAGUUGUGUUAUCCUUAUUCUUUCUCACUUUGC